rnacentral:rRNA from 1 species
GGACAACCUACCCUCGGGUCCGGCAUAAUCCUGGGAAACUGGGGAUAAUUCCGGAUAGGUCACAGAAGCUGGAAUGCUCUGUGGCCCAAAGCUCCGGCGCCCGAGGAUGGGUCUGCGGCCUAUCAGGGUUGUAGUGGGUGUAAUGUACCUACUAGCCUACGACGGRUACGGGUUGUGAGAGCAAGAGCCCGGAGAUGGAUUCUGAGACACGAAUCCAGGCCCUACGGGGUGCAGCAGGCGCGAAAACUUUACAAUGCGGGAAACCGUGAUAAGGGAAUCUCGAGUGCCAGCAUAUAAUGUUGGCUGUCCAGAUGCCUAAAAAGCAUCUGUUAGCAAGGGCCGGGCAAGACCGGUGCCAGCCGCCGCGGUAACACCGGCGGCCCGAGUGGUAACCGCUAUUAUUGGGUCUAAAGGGUCUGUAGCCGGCCAGGUAAGUCCCUUGGGAAAUCUGGCAGCUCAACUGUCAGGCUGCUAGGGGAUACUGUUUGGCUUGGGACCGGGAGAGGUGAGAGGUACCUUGGGGGUAGGGGUGAAAUCUUGUGAUCCUCGGGGGACCACCAGUGGCGAAGGCGUCUCACCAGAACGGGUCCGACGGUAAGGGACGAAAGCUAGGGGCACGAACCGGAUUAGAUACCCGGGUAGUCCUAGCCGUAAACGAUGCUCGCUAGGUGUCAGUCACGGUGCGACCGUGAUUGGUGCCGUAGGGAAGCCGUGAAGCGAGCCACCUGGGAAGUAUGGCCGCAAGGCUGAAACUUAA